UCCGUAGGUGAGUAAUCGAAAUCCUUCUCUUCAAACCACUUUGUAUCUUACUAACUUUCUUUAAAGGUGAACCUGCGGAGGGAUCAUUACUGAGUUUGGGGUAGCUUGCUGCCCCGACUUCCAACCCUUUGAUUGAUGUACAUUUUGUAUCUUCCGGCUCUGCUUCGGUAUUCCGGAAGAUUUUCUUUAAACUCGUAUGAAUCAUGACGUCAAAUUUAUUUGAUAAUAAAUCAAAACUUUCAACAACGGAUCUCUUGGUUCUAGCAUCGAUGAAGAACGCAGCGAAAUGCGAUAAGUAGUAUGAAUUGCAGAAUUCAGUGAAUCAUCGAAUUUUUGAACGCACAUUGCACCUCUUGGUAUUCCAUGAGGUAUGCCUGUUCGAGCGUUAUUACAAACCUCAAGCUCUGCUUGGUAAUGAAAUCAUCAAUUGAUGAUCUCUAAAUAUUAUGGAUGGCUGUACAAAAUUUGCCAAUGCUACCAAAACUUUAUGUUCUGCUUGCGAAUUUGGAUAUGGCGCCCAUCAAUAACUAUUUUCUGGUUUAACCUCGGAUCAGGUAGGAAUACCCGCUGAACUUAAGCAUAUCAAUAAGCGGAGGA
rnacentral:rRNA from 1 species